AAGUCGUAACAAGGUUUCCGUAGGUGAACCUGCGGAAGGAUCAUUAAUGAAAUUGAUACUCAUCUUUUUCUGUGAACUUGGCUUCGGCCAUUAUCUGCUUCGGCGGCGUAUGUUUAUUGCAUUGCCGCCGGUGUUAAACUCUUUUAACCUUUAGUCUAAACCUUUGAUAUUUUAAUAAUCAAAACUUUCAACAACGGAUCUCUAGGUUCUC
rnacentral:misc_RNA from 1 species